AUCGCUGCUCAGCCUUUUGGCUAAGAUCAAGUGUAGUAUCUGUUCUUAUCAGUUUAAUAUCUGAUACGUCCUCUAUCAGAGGACAAUAUAUUAAAUGGAUUUUUAGAGCUAGGAGUUGGAAUAGGAGCUUGCUCCGUCUACUGCACGCAUCGACCUGGUAUUGCAGUACUCCCAGGAACGGUGCACCAGAA
rnacentral:snRNA from 1 species